rnacentral:tRNA from 1 species
GGAAUAGUACCCAAGAGGCUGAAGGGACUGGUUUCGAAAACCAGCAGUGGUGAAAGCCAGCGGGGGUUCAAAUCCCUCCUAUUCCGCCA